rnacentral:rRNA from 1 species
UACGGAGGAUGCGAGCGUUAUCCGGAUUUAUUGGGUUUAAAGGGUGCGCAGGCGGAUAUAUAAGUCAGUGGUGAAAUUCCUGGGCUCAACCGAGGGACUGCCGUUGAUACUGUAUAUCUUGAGUGUAGUGGGCGUUGGCGGAAUGUGUCAUGUAGCGGUGAAAUGCAUAGAGAUGACACAGAACACCGAUAGCGAAGGCAGCUGACGAUACUUACACUGACGCUCAUGCACGAGAGCGUGGGGAUCAAACAGG